rnacentral:rRNA from 1 species
GACGAACGCUGGCGGCGUGCUUAACACAUGCAAGUCGAACGAAAAGGCCCUGCUUUUGUGGGGUGCUCGAGUGGCGAACGGGUGAGUAACACGUGAGUAACCUGCCCUUGACUUUGGGAUAACUUCAGGAAACUGGGGCUAAUACCGGAUAGGAGCUCCUGCUGCAUGGUGGGGGUUGGAAAGUUUCGGCGGUUGGGGAUGGACUCGCGGCUUAUCAGCUUGUUGGUGGGGUAGUGGCUUACCAAGGCUUUGACGGGUAGCCGGCCUGAGAGGGUGACCGGCCACCUUGGGACUGAGAUACGGCCCAGACUCCUACGGGAGGCAGCAGUGGGGAAUAUUGCACAAUGGGCGGAAGCCUGAUGCAGCAACGCCGCGUGCGGGAUGACGGCCUUCGGGUUGUAAACCGCUUUCGCCUGUGACGAAGCGUGAGUGACGGUAAUGGGUAAAGAAGCACCGGCUAACUACGUG